AACAUAAUUUGCACAAUCCUGAGCGCUCAGAUUUUCCAUUUUAUCUGUCUGGUGCUGGUUUCAGGUCAGUCUUCUGACCCAGAAUCUAGAGAGCCAACUCUGAGGGCUUUAAAUUUCGCCUCCAUGCUGAGUGGUAAGUUCAGUAAUGCCAAACAAGUGAAAGCGGAGUCUACCUUCAUAGAAGAAGAAGAACCUCGUGACUCAUUGAUUUUUAAAGUAAUCCCCGUUGAGGUCGCAGCUUUACAACCGACUCUGACCUUCAUAGUUAACGAAAUAGUCAAUGGCAAUCUGACCCGUUACCAUUUGUUGACUAUUUUUGAAGACGACGAAGGCUUUGUCAACCUGAAGCACUAUAUCAUUGCAAGUAAUUUAAC
rnacentral:sRNA from 1 species